rnacentral:rRNA from 1 species
GCUGGUAGCUAGCUCUCUGUAACUCUCACAUGUUCGCCCACUUAAGCCAGGCAGGGCUGUGCCUGGUCAGUACCUAGAUUGGAGGCCACAUGGGAAAGCUAGGUUGCUGCAAGAA